CUUAUGUGUGAGAUGUGAAGGGGAAAUCCCAGGAUUUGGUGGAGAAGAAGCACAGUUCAAUUUGACGCCCGCCAGGUGUUCGACGAAAUGUUCGAAUUGGGUUUCGUCAUUGAUAUUGUGGAUUUGAGUCGCGUUUUGUAUUGAAAAACAAGAAUCGUGAGUGCAAUGGCAAAUGGAAGGUGAAGGCCCUUUUGAUUGACAACUUAGGAAAAGAUGGAAUGGAACUCAAAUUUUGGUGGUCGGUCAAGUGUGUAGAGUUGAAAUCAUAUAUACUUAGUUAGGCUCAAAUUUAGCGCAAACUGUUGGUGACCAUGUUUUUCGGUUAGUAUUUUAGUUUUUAAAUUGGAUUUAAAGUACACUUAUGUAUGAGUUAUUUAGGAAUGCUUAUUUAUGUGAUAUUGAAUGAUACUUAUCUACAUUAUAUUAACUAUAGUGUUAUUAAAUAUAUGUGUGUAU